GACGAACCGUGCGAACGUUGUUCGGAUUCACUGGGCUUAAAGGGCGCGUAGGCGGGCGAGCAGGUCCGCGGUGAAAGCCCCCGGCUCAACCGGGGGAGUGCCGCGGAUACCGCUCGCCUCGAGCGGUGCAGGGGCACGCGGAACUUCCGGUGGAGCGGUGAAAUGCGUAGAGAUCGGAAGGAACGCCGGUGGCGAAAGCGGCGUGCUGGGCACCUCCUGACGCUGAGGCGCGAAAGCCAGGGGAGCGAACGGG
rnacentral:rRNA from 1 species